GCGAACGCUGGCGGCAGGCCUAACACAUGCAAGUCGAACGGACCCUUCGGGGUUAGUGGCGGACGGGUGAGUAACACGUGGGAACGUGCCUUUAGGUUCGGAAUAGCUUCUGGAAACGGGUGGUAAUGCCGAAUGUGCCCUUCGGGGGAAAGAUUUAUCGCCUUUAGAGCGGCCCGCGUCUGAUUAGCUUGUUGGUGAGGUAAUGGCUCACCAAGGCUACGAUCAGUAGCUGGUCUGAGAGGAUGAUCAGCAUCACUGGGACUGAGACACGGCCCAGACUCCUACGGGAGGCAGCAGUGGGGAAUAUUGGACAAUGGGCGCAAGCCUGAUCCAGCCAUGCCGCGUGGAUGAUGAAGGCCUUAGGGUUGUAAAGUCCUUUUAACGGGGAAGAUAAUGACGGUACCCGUAGAAUAAGCCCCGGCUAACUUCGU
rnacentral:rRNA from 1 species